rnacentral:rRNA from 1 species
GACGAACGCUGGCGGCGUGCUUAACACAUGCAAGUCGAACGCUGAAGCCUAGCUUGCUGGGUGGAUGAGUGGCGAACGGGUGAGUAACACGUGAGUAACCUGCCCCCUUCUUUGGGAUAACGCCCGGAAACGGGUGCUAAUACUGGAUAUUCACUGGUCUUCGCAUGGGGGUUGGUGGAAAGGUUUUUUCUGGUGGGGGAUGGGCUCGCGGCCUAUCAGCUUGUUGGUGGGGUGAUGGCCUACCAAGGCUUUGACGGGUAGCCGGCCUGAGAGGGUGACCGGUCACAUUGGGACUGAGAUACGGCCCAGACUCCUACGGGAGGCAGCAGUGGGGAAUAUUGCACAAUGGGCGAAAGCCUGAUGCAGCGACGCCGCGUGAGGGAUGGAGGCCUUCGGGUUGUAAACCUCUUUCGCUCAUGGUCAAGCCGCAACUUGGGGUUGUGGUGAGGGUAGUGGGUAAAGAAGCGCCGGCUAACUACGUGCCAGCAGCCGCGGUAAUACGUAGGGCGCGAGCGUUGUCCGGAAUUAUUGGGCGUAAAGGGCUUGUAGGCGGUUGGUCGCGUCUGCCGUGAAAUCCUCUGGCUUAACUGGGGGCGUGCGGUGGGUACGGGCUGACUUGAGUGCGGUAGGGGAGACUGGAACUCCUGGUGUAGCGGUGGAAUGCGCAGAUAUCAGGAAGAACACCGGUGGCGAAGGCGGGUCUCUGGGCCGUUACUGACGCUGAGGAGCGAAAGCGUGGGGAGCGAACAGG